UACGUAGGGGGCUAGCGUUGUCCGGAUUUAUUGGGCGUAAAGAGCGUGUAGGCGGCCAGAUAGGUCUGCUGUGAAAACUCGAGGCUCAACCUCGAGCUGUCGGCGGAAACCAUUUGGCUAGAGUCCGGAAGAGGAGAGUGGAAUUCCUGGUGUAGCGGUGAAAUGCGCAGAUAUCAGGAGGAACACCGGUGGCGAAGGCGGGUCUCUGGGCCGAUACUGACGCUGAGGAGCGAAAGCGUGGGGAGCGAACAGG
rnacentral:rRNA from 1 species